UACGAAGGGAGCUAGCGUUGUUCGGAAUCACUGGGCGUAAAGCGCACGUAGGCGGAUUUGCCAGUCAGGGGUGAAAUCCCGGGGCUCAACCUCGGAACUGCCUUUGAUACAGCAAGUCUUGAGUUCGAGAGAGGUGGGUGGAAUUCCUAGUGUAGAGGUGAAAUUCGUAGAUAUUAGGAAGAACACCCGUGGCGAAGGCGGCCAGCUGGGUCGUCCCUGACGCUGAGGCGCGAAAGCGUGGGGAGCGAA
rnacentral:rRNA from 1 species